GAAUAAUAGUCGGGGAGCCUUAGGCUGAGAUCGCAUAGCGAGACCCGUUGAACCUGAUUCAGUUAACACUGGCGUAGGGAACUAUGAAUCUUACUGU
rnacentral:ncRNA from 15 species